rnacentral:rRNA from 1 species
UGGCAGUCAGAGGCGAUGAAGGACGUGCUAAUCUGCGAUAAGCGCCGGUAAGGUGAUAUGAACCGUUAUAACCGGCGAUUUCCGAAUGGGGAAACCCAGUGUGACUCGUCACACUAUCAUUAACUGAAUCCAUAGGUUAAUGAGGCGAACCGGGGGAACUGAAACAUCUAAGUACCCCGAGGAAAAGAAAUCAACCGAGAUUCCCCCAGUAGCGGCGAGCGAACGGGGAGGAGCCCAGAGCCUGAAUCAGCAUGUGUGUUAGUGGAAGCGUCUGGAAAGGCGCGCGAUACAGGGUGACAGCCCCGUACACAAAACGCAUGUGCUGUGAGCUCGAUGAGUAGGGCGGGACACGUGGUAUCCUGUCUGAAUAUGGGGGGACCAUCCUCCAAGGCUAAAUACUCCUGACUGACCGAUAGUGAACCAGUACCGUGAGGGAAAGGCGAAAAGAACCCCGGCGAGGGGAGUGAAAAAGAACCUGAAACCGUGUACGUACAAGCAGUGGGAGCCCCACCACCAAAGCAUUCUCUGGUGUUGAAGGCCCUGCAAAGCAGCAUCGCGGUGGCGGAGCGUCGUUUGCGACGCCCAACACACAAAACAAGCGGUGAGUGCUUUGGGGUGGGGUGACUGCGUACCUUUUGUAUAAUGGGUCAGCGACUUAUAUUCUGUAGCAAGGUUAACCGCAUAGGGGAGCCGUAGGGAAACCGAGUCUUAACCGGGCGUUAAGUUGCAGGGUAUAGACCCGAAACCCGGUGAUCUAGCCAUGGGCAGGUUGAAGGUUGGGUAACACUAACUGGAGGACCGAACCGACUAAUGUUGAAAAAUUAGCGGAUGACCUGUGGCUGGGGGUGAAAGGCCAAUCAAACCGGGAGAUAGCUGGUUCUCCCCGAAAGCUAUUUAGGUAGCGCCUCGUGAA